rnacentral:rRNA from 1 species
AAAUAAGUUACAAAGGGCUUAUGGUGGAUGCCUUGGGACUGGAUGACGAUGAAGGACGUGCUAAUCUGCGAUAAGCCACGGGUAGCUGAUAAGAUGCUAUUAUCCGUGGAUCUCCGAAUGAGAAAACUCAGCUAGUAGAGAUACUAGUUAUCAUCAUAUGAAUUAAUAGUAUGAUGAAGUGAUACCUGGCGAAAUGAAAAAACUGAGUAGCUAGAGGAAAAGAAAACAAAGUGAUUCCCUUAGUAGUGCGAGCGAAACGGGAAAAGACCAAACCAAGAUUCGUCUUGGGGUUGUAGGACUACGAUGUGGACUUAAAAUAUAUAGUAGAAGAAGUUGGAAAGCUUCACAAUAUAGGGUGAUAGUCCCGUAUACGAAAUAUAUUUUAUACCUAGUAGUAUCCUGAGUAGGGCGGGACACGAGAAAUCCCGUUUGAAUCCGCCGCGACCAUGCGGUAAGUCUAAAUACAAACCAGUCACCGAUAGAGAAUAGUACCGUGAGGGAAAGGUGAAAAGAACCCAGAGAUGGGAGUGAAAUAGAAACCUGAAACCAUAUGCCUACAAUGGGUCAGAGCGCAUUAAUGCGUGAUGGCGUGCGUACUGAAGUAUGAGCCGGAGAGUUAUUGUUGCAUGCAAGGUUAAGCUGUAGAAGUGGAGCCGUAGGGAAACCGAAUCUUAAUAGGGUGUUUAGUAUGUAGCAAUAGACCCGAAACGGUUUGAUCUAUUCAUGAGCAGGUUGAAGGUAGGGUAACACCUAUUGGAGGACCGAACCUACGUUCGUUGAAACGCCCGAGGAUGACUUGUGAAUAGGACUGAAAUUGUAAUCGAAAACCGUGAUAGCUGGUUCUCGCCGAUAUAAAUUUAAGUUUAGCCUUGGAUUAUUGAUUACUAUGGGGGUAAAGCGCUGAAUGACUGAUGGCGUCGCCUUGAUGUACUGAUUUCAAUCAAACUCUGAAUACCAUAGAAUCUAUUCCAGGAGAUGGACUGUGGGGGAUAAGCUUCAUAGUCGUGAGGGGAAGAGCCCAGAUCAUUAACUAAGGUCCCUAAUAUAUGCUAAGUGGAAAAGGAUGUUGGAUUUCUUAAACACCAAGGAUGUUGGCUUAGAAGCAGCCAUCGUUUAAAGAGUGCGUAACAGCUCACUUGCCGAGAGAUCCUGCGCCAAAGAUUCAACGGGGCUUAAGCAUAUAACCGAAGUUAUGGGAUAUACAUAUGUUUUUCAUUUGUAUAUCGGUAGGCGAGCGUUGUAUAUAGGAUGAAGGUAGAGCGAGAGCACUGCUGGACAGUAUACAAGUGAGAAUUCCGGCGUGAGUAACGUAUGAAAGUGAGAAUCUUUCAAGCCGAAUUGACUAAGGUUUCCAGGACGAGGGUCGUCCUUCCUGGGUUAGUCGGAACCUAAGAUGAGGCCGCGAGGCGUAGUUGAUGGAUGAUAGGUUAAUAUUCCUAUACCUAGUAUGUGAGUGAUGGAGUGACGGAGAAGGUUAAUGCAGUGCGGUUAAUGGAUUCCGCUAAAAGCAUUGAGUCUUACGGGUAGGCAAAUCCGCCCGUUUCAAGGACAAGAUGUGAUAUUAUAGUGAAAGUUUCGACAAGUAAUAAAUCUGCAUACAUCACGCUUCCAAGAAAAGCUUCUAAACUUAUCGCAUAUUAGUCCGUACCGAGAACGAACACACGUGGUCAAGGAGAAUAUCCUAAGGCUAGAGAGUUAACUAUGGUCAAGGAACUCUGCAAAAUAACCCCGUAAGUUCGCGAGAAGGGGUGCUUAGUAAAAUAAGCCACAGUAAAGAGUGAGAAGCGACUGUUUAACAAAAACACAGCUUUAUGCUAAAUCGUAAGAUGAUGUAUAUGAGGUGACUCCUGCCCAGUGCUGGAAGGUUAAGGAAGUGGGUUAGCCGCAAGGCGAAGCUUGUGACCGAAGCCCCAGUGAACGGCGGCCGUAACUAUAACGGUCCUAAGGUAGCUCAACUCCUUGUCGGGUAAAUUCCGUCUAUGUGAAUGGAGUAACGACUUCUUAACUGUCUCGACCAUAGGCUCUGUGAAAUCUAGGUAGGGGUGCAGACGCCCCUUAGGCGCGAUCGGGCGAAAAGACCCCAUGAAGCUUUACUGUAGUUUAAUAUUGAAAAGGUACAUUGUAGUUAGAGCAUAGUCGGGAGACUUUGAUAUACGGUCGCUAGGUCGUAUGGAGUCACCAUUGUAAUACCGCCAUUAUAAUGUGCUUUUUCUAACCUUUGGCUGUUAUCCAGCUAUGGGACAGUGUUAGAUGGGCAGUUUGACUGGGGCGGUCGCCUCCCAAAAUGUAACGGAGGCGCGCAAAGGUUCCCUCAGCACGGUUGGAAAUCGUGUUUUGAGCGUAAUGGUAUAAGGGAGCUUGACUGUGAGACUUACAAGUCGAGCAGGUAAGAAAUUAGGUCAUAGUGAACUGGUGGUGCUGUAUGGAAAGGCCAUCAAUUAACGGAUAAAAGUUACUCUGGGGAUAACAGGCUGAUAGUGUCCAAGAGUUCAUAUCGACGACACUGUUUGGCACCUCGAUGUCGACUCAUCUUAUCCUGGGGGUGUAGCAACUCCCAAGGGUUCGGCUGUUCGCCGACUAAGAAGAUACGUGAGUUGGGUUCAAACCGUUGUGAAACAGGUUGGUUUCUCCCUGUCGUGCCCGUAAGAAGAUUGAGAAAAGUUGCUCCUAGUACGAGAGGAUCGGAGUGAAGUCACCUCUAAUGUUUCAGUUGUUCCGCCAGGAGCAUUGCUGGGUAGUUACGUGACGAAAGGAUAAGUGCUGAAAGCAUAUAAGCACGAAGCCUCUUUCAAGAUGAAUCUUCUCAGCCGCAAGGCAUAAGAAUCGUUGUAGACUACGACGUUGAUAGGAUACAUGUGUAAGUACCGUGAGGUAUUAAGCUGAGUAUUACUAAUUAUUCGAAAGACUUAUUUAA